CUACGGGUUGCUCCAGUGGGGAAUAUUGCACAAUGGGGGGAACCCUGAUGCAGCAACGCCGCGUGGAGGAUGGCGCAUUUCGGUGUGUAAACUCCUUUUAUAUGUCAAGAAAAUGACGGUAGCAUAUGAAUAAGCACCGGCUAACUCCGUGCCAGCAGCCGCGGUAAUACGGAGGGUGCAAGCGUUACUCGGAAUCACUGGGCGUAAAGGACGCGUAGGCGGGUUGGAAAGUCAGGUGUGAAAUCCUACAGCUUAACUGUAGAACUGCACUUGAAACUUCUAAUCUAGAGUAUGGGAGGGGGAGAUGGAAUUAGUGGUGUAGGGGUAAUAUCCGUAGAUAUCACUAGGAAUACCUAAAGCGAAGGCGAUCUCCUGGAACAUUACUGACGCUAAGGCGUGAAAGCGUGGGGAGCAAACAGGAUUAGAUACCCGCGUAGUC
rnacentral:rRNA from 1 species